rnacentral:piRNA from 1 species
UUGGCGAUAGGAAUUGGUAGU